rnacentral:rRNA from 1 species
AUGGUGGCGAUGAGCGUGGGCGCUGUGGAAGCGCUCAAGGACCAGGCAGGGCUCUGCCGCUGGAACUAUGCGCUGAGGUCCAUUCACCGGAGCACCAAGGCCAAGGCCAAUGUCCCCGGCGGUGCAUCGCAAGUCAAGAAGCAGCUGCCUGCCUCCGCAGCAGCCGUGGCGGAGAGGCGGCGAGCGCGGAAGGCCGAGGAGGGGCUGAGGACGGUCGUGUACCUCAGUUGCUGGGGCCUAAAUUAG